GGCCGACGUGGUGGUGCCAGGCGGCCGCUUGUGCCACCCAGCGCCCUCAGGAGCAGCCCCGCGGUGAUGAGGGGUCGGUGCCCCCUCAGAGCCACGGGAAGGGUUUCAGGUGGAGUGGGCCAAGUGUAACCCACGAAUUACUUGGCAAAGCUGAUGGUGCACAGGGGACCAGACUCCAAGAUGAAAACCAAGCCUUGCUGAAAUGUGAAAGCACAGAUUGCACCCUGGAUGAAUGUGGGCAGGAGCUGGAUGAAUAAAGAGGGCUUCACUCACAGCAACAGUUCACCUAAAUCCACUUAAAAUACUUGCUGUAGUAGGAAAAAACCCACCUUUGUCAUGCAGAGAAAGGCAAGACAUCUGCAAAAAAAUAUUUGAAGAACUCCCCACCACAAAACUCACCCUGGUAUUGGACUUCUGAAACAGGUUCCAAAGAGCAGCUCCAAGUGUAGGAUAAGAUCAGGACAUCAAUACAUAAUGCUUGUCCUCCAUCAGAGAGAUUUAAUUUAUCCUGUCAACAUGAGCUAAUUAAUAAUUAAAAAGGGCACCGUGAUCCUUAUGUGGCAGGUCCUAUAAAAUGAAAAUUUAAGCAAUUUGAGAGGCAGUAGAUUCCUGAUUAUUAAAAAAACAUGUUCAGGGAUUUA